AUUGAACGCUGGCGGCAGGCCUAACACAUGCAAGUCGAACGAGUGGCGGACGGGUGAGUAAUGUCUGGGAAACUGCCUGAUGGCGGGGGAUAACUACUGGAAACGGUAGCUAAUACCGCAUACCAUCGGAUGUGCCCAUAUGGGAUUAGCUAGUAGGUGGGGUAACGGCUCACCUAGGCGACGAUCCCUAGCUGGUCUGAGAGGAUGACCGGCCACACUGGAACGGAGACAGGGCCCAGACUCUUACGGGAGGCAGCAGUGGGGAUUAUUGCACAAGGGGCGAAAGCCGGAUGCAGCCAUGCCGGGUGUAUGAAGAAGGCCUUCGGGUUGUAAAGUACUUUCAGCGGGGAGGCGUUACCCGAAGAAGAAGCACCGGCUAACUCCGUGCCAGCAGCCGCGGUAUUC
rnacentral:rRNA from 1 species